rnacentral:rRNA from 1 species
UGGGGAAUAUUGGGCAAUGGGCGAAAGCCUGACCCAGCAACGCCGCGUGAGGGAGGAAGGUUUUCGGAUUGUAAACCUCUGUCCUCAGGGAAGAAGAAAGUGACGGUACCUGAGGAGGAAGCCCCGGCUAACUACGUGCCAGCAGCCGCGGUAAUACAUAGGGGGCAAGCGUUGUCCGGAAUCACUGGGCGUAAAGGGAGCGUAGGCGGAUGUUUAAGUUAAGUGUGAAAGCCUGGGGCUUAACUCCAGAAAUGCACUUAAUACUGGACAACUAGAGUGUGGGAGAGGUAAGUGGAAUUCCUAGUGUAGCGGUAAAAUGCGUAGAGAUUAGGAGGAACACCAGAGGCGAAGGCGGCUUACUGGACCACAACUGACGCUGAGGCUCGAAAGCGGGGGGAGCAAAC